GGCUGUCGUCCGGUGGCGGGCGGGCGGGCAGCUGAGGCUCGGGGCCUGGUCCCCCCCAGCACCAUGGCCAAGACCGUGGCGUAUUUCUACGACCCCGAUGUGGGCAACUUCCACUACGGAGCUGGACACCCAAUGAAACCUCAUCGCCUGGCAUUGACUCAUAGCCUAGUCCUGCAUUAUGGUCUCUAUAAGAAGAUGAUCGUCUUCAAGCCUUACCAGGCCUCCCAGCACGACAUGUGCCGCUUCCAUUCUGAGGACUACAUCGACUUCCUGCAGAGAGUCAGCCCCACCAAUAUGCAGGGUUUCACCAAGAGCCUUAAUGCCUUCAACGUGGGUGAUGACUGCCCAGUGUUUCCCGGGCUUUUCGAGUUCUGCUCCCGUUACACCGGCGCAUCUCUGCAAGGAGCAACACAGCUAAACAACAAGAUCUGUGAUAUUGCCAUCAACUGGGCCGGUGGUCUACAUCAUGCCAAGAAAUUUGAGGCCUCUGGCUUCUGCUAUGUCAACGACAUAGUAAUUGGUAUCCUGGAGCUGCUUAAGUACCACCCUCGGGUGCUCUACAUUGAUAUCGACAUCCACCAUGGUGAUGGGGUUCAGGAAGCCUUCUACCUCACUGACCGGGUCAUGACUGUGUCCUUCCACAAAUACGGAAAUUACUUCUUUCCUGGAACAGGUGACAUGUAUGAAGUUGGAGCCGAGAGUGGCCGCUACUAUUGUCUCAAUGUGCCCUUACGAGAUGGCAUUGAUGACCAGAGUUACAAGCACCUUUUCCAGCCAGUCAUCAGCCAGGUGGUGGACUUCUAUCAGCCGACGUGCAUCGUGCUCCAGUGUGGCGCGGACUCCCUGGGCUGUGAUCGAUUAGGCUGCUUCAAUCUCAGCAUUCGAGGACAUGGGGAAUGUGUUGAAUAUGUCAAGAGUUUCAAUAUCCCUCUCCUGGUACUGGGAGGUGGUGGCUACACUGUCCGAAACGUUGCCCGGUGUUGGACAUAUGAAACAUCUCUGCUGGUAGAAGAGGCCAUUAGUGAGGAGCUUCCCUAUAGUGGUAAGAUCCACGUCAUGACGCCACCACAGGGGGACACCAUUCUCACCAGCCCUCAGAAUGACCUUGUUUGCAGGGAAAUUGUACCUUCUGGUAGCUCUGCAGACUCAAUCCCUGCGCUCAGAGCAGAGCACAUACUCUUACACAUGGGGACCAGGCCUCGGAGAGGAGAUCAGAAAGCUAUGGGAUUCACUCUUGGGUGUCUCAGGCAUACUCUUGUUCAUCCCCUCUCCCAAUUGCUUCUCAUCUCUAAGAAUACUUCGAGUACUUUGCCCCAGAUUUCACACUCCAUCCAGAUGUCAGCACCCGCAUCGAGAAUCAGAACUCACGCCAGGUUAGCAGCUUGGGGAGGCUGGACACAGCAAUGGGGUGGGGGGUGGGGGGCGCUCAGGAGAGGUCCAGGAGGGGGGAAGUGGAGAGAGCAAGAGGAGGAAGUUUUGGGCUUCCACUGUCGCUCUUAUCGUGGGGUUGGUGGGGAGGGACAGUUACCAACUGAGGAUCUGACCUUGAAAUACUACGUUAGACCAGGACGGUCAGGGACGAAGGUGGGUAGGGUGUCGUGUACUAUAGGAAUCACCCCAGCACCGCUGACUUUCUUUCUUCUAAACUAGUAUCUGGACCAGAUCCGCCAGACAAUCUUUGAAAACUUGAAGAUGCUGAACCAUGCACCCAGUGUUCAGAUUCAUGAUGUCCCGGCAGACCUCCUGACGUAUGACAGGACUGACGAGGCUGACGCUGAAGAGAGAGGUCCCGAGGAGAACUACAGCAGGCCAGAAGCACCCAAUGAGUUCUAUGAUGGCGACCAUGACAAUGACAAGGAAAGUGAUGUGGAAAUUUAGAGCAGCAUGGAUGCUGUGUCCCCAAGAGUUCCUUGUCACCUCUGUGGUGAUAAGGAAAGUAUGGCUCCCCCAGGUCUGAACUGGGUACCCCCAGGGUGUUUACUAACUCUGGUGAAGGGUUUGGAAACCACAUGUGGUUCUAGAAUCAACUCCCCUUUCCCUCAAACUCUCACGGCCUGAUGAUUGUCCCUCUCAGGGAUGAGACAUGGACAGGUCUCUGGAACGUUAUGGGUAAUGAGCCCCAGCAGCUGUCCCCAGCCCCUCUUCCCCUCAUUUGUUCCUUCUGUCCUUCCAACACAGAGACUGUUAGAGAUGAAAGUUUGGACGGUACUAAAGUCACCUCUGACUUCCUUCUGGGUUCCCCUACUACAGUUCUUGCUUCCAUGCAAGGUGAACCUGAGGGGAGGAAGGCAUGGCUCUCUGAAACCUUAACUGCAGAUGAAGUACAGUGGCAAGGAGGAGGGGGUGUGAAGCUCUAACUGGCUUUAUGUCCAUUUUACUGUUUUGGAUCUAAUAAACCAAUUGGUAUUUUUUUUGUA